AUACGUAGGGGGCGAGCGUUGUCCGGAAUGAUUGGGCGUAAAGGGCGCGUAGGCGGCCCGGUAAGUCUGGGGUGAAAGUCCUGUUUUUAAGAUGGGAAUUGCUUUGGAUACUGUCGGGCUUGAGUGCAGGAGAGGUAAGUGGAAUUCCUAGUGUAGCGGUGAAAUGCGUAGAGAUUGGGAGGAACACCAGUGGCGAAGGCGACUUACUGGACUGUAACUGACGCUGAGGCGCGAAAGUGUGGGGAGCAAACAGGAUUAGAUACCCUGGUAGUCCACACUGUAAACGAUGAAUGCUAGGUGUAGGGGGUAUCGACCCCUUCUGUGCCGCAGUCAACACAAUAAGCAUUCCGCCUGGGGAGUACGGCCGCAAGGUUGAAACUCAAAGGAAUUGACGGGG
rnacentral:rRNA from 1 species